UACGGGGGGAGCAAGCGUUGUUCGGAUUUACUGGGCGUAAAGGGCGCGUAGGCGGUCGUGACAAGUCACUUGUGAAAUCUCCGGGCUUAACUCGGAACGGUCAAGUGAUACUGUCGGACUAGAGUACAGAAGGGGCAACUGGAAUUCUCGGUGUAGCGGUGAAAUGCGUAGAUAUCUGGAGGAACACCGGUGGCGAAGGCGGCAUCCUGGACCAAUACUGACGCUGAGGAGCGGAAGCCAGGGGAGCAAACGGG
rnacentral:rRNA from 1 species